AAGACAUAGUUUCUGGGAUCUUUUCUAGAGUUUGUUACUAGAGAAGUUUCUCUCAUUGUGUAGCGCACUGGCAACCACAAGUCAGAGCAUCGUCUCCUGAGUGUGAAGCCAGUUCUAGGUGUUGCUUUUGCAACUGCCUUUUACCACUGAUGCUCCUUCUCUUCCUUUGGAAGAGGGAGAGGAGGCGGAUGCAGUCUGAAUGGU